rnacentral:rRNA from 1 species
UGCUUACACAUGCAAGUCGAGCGGAAAGGCCCUUCGGGGUACUCGAGCGGCGAACGGGUGAGUAACACGUGAGCAACCUGCCCCAGGCUUUGGGAUAACCCCGGGAAACCGGGGCUAAUACCGAAUAUGACCUCCGAUCGCAUGGUUGGUGGUGGAAAGUUUUUCGGCUUGGGAUGGGCUCGCGGCCUAUCAGCUUGUUGGUGGGGUGAUGGCCUACCAAGGCGACGACGGGUAGCCGGCCUGAGAGGGCGACCGGCCACACUGGGACUGAGACACGGCCCAGACUCCUACGGGAGGCAGCAGUGGGGAAUAUUGCACAAUGGGCGGAAGCCUGAUGCAGCGACGCCGCGUGAGGGAUGACGGCCUUCGGGUUGUAAACCUCUUUCAGCAGGGACGAAGCGUAAGUGACGGUACCUGCAGAAGAAGCGCCGGCCAACUACGUGCCAGCAGCCGCGGUAAGACGUAGGGCGCGAGCGUUGUCCGGAUUUAUUGGGCGUAAAGAGCUCGUAGGCGGCUUGUCGCGUCGACUGUGAAAACCCGCAGCUCAACUGCGGGCCUGCAGUCGAUACGGGCAGGCUAGAGUUCGGUAGGGGAGACUGGAAUUCCUGGUGUAGCGGUGAAAUGCGCAGAUAUCAGGAGGAACACCGGUGGCGAAGGCGGGUCUCUGGGCCGAUACUGACGCUGAGGAGCGAAAGCGUGGGGAGCGAACAGGAUUAGAUACCCUGGUAGUCCACGCUGUAAACGUUGGGCGCUAGGUGUGGGGGGCCUCUCCGGUUCCCUGUGCCGCAGCUAACGCAUUAAGCGCCCCGCCUGGGGAGUACGGCCGCAAGGCUAAA